GGAUGUGAGGGCGAUCUGGCUGCGAUAUCUGUUACCCCUUUGAUCGCCAGGGUUGAUUCGGCUGAUCUGGCUGGCUAGGCGGGUAUCACCUUCCUCAAUGAUCCAUGUGGGUCCCUCCCAAAGCUGCACGCUGGGUCGAAGAGGACGACCACCCCCGAUAGAGGAGGACGGUUCCACAGUCAAGGUGUACGAGUAGCUGCACUCCCCCCUAGACCCUCUAAACAAGCUCUCACGAAGUGAAAGAAAAAUUCAGUAAACAAAUAGGAAUUCAACAAUGGUUGCUGUAUUGCAUGAGGCCAUCUUCAAAUCACU
rnacentral:snRNA from 1 species